rnacentral:rRNA from 1 species
AUUGAACGCUGGCGGCAUGCCUUACACAUGCAAGUCGAACGGCAGCACGGGAGCAAUCCUGGUGGCGAGUGGCGAACGGGUGAGUAAUGUAUCGGAACGUACCUUUCAGUGGGGGAUAACGUAGCGAAAGUUACGCUAAUACCGCAUAUUCUGUGAGCAGGAAAGCAGGGGAUCGCAAGACCUUGCGCUGAUUGAGCGGCCGAUAUCAGAUUAGCUAGUUGGUGAGGUAAAGGCUCACCAAGGCGACGAUCUGUAGCGGGUCUGAGAGGAUGAUCCGCCACACUGGAACUGAGACACGGUCCAGACUCCUACGGGAGGCAGCAGUGGGGAAUUUUGGACAAUGGGCGCAAGCCUGAUCCAGCCAUGCCGCGUGAGUGAAGAAGGCCUCGGUUGUAAGACGUCUUUCUAGCCGGGAAGGAGUAAUGUACGGUACCGAUCAGAAGAAGACU